ACAAUGACGAUGUCCAUGAGCAUGAUUAAGUUGUCUGUAAAGGCCGGUGAAACUGUUCAAUCAUCGUCGUGCGUGGGAUUGGGGUGUGUAAUUAUCCCCCAUGAACCAGGAAUUCCUAGUAAGCACAAGUCAGUAGGUUGUGGUGAUUACGUCCCUGCCCUGUGAACACACCACCCGUAGAUACUACCGAUUGAAUGGUUUAGCAAGGCCAUUGGAUUGGGCUCUUGCGGUUUGCGCUGCAGUUGCCCGAGAAGAUGGCCGAACUUGGUCAUUUAGAGGAAGUAAAAGUCGUAACAAGGUUUCCGUAGGUGAACUGCGGAAGGAUCAUUA
rnacentral:ncRNA from 1 species